rnacentral:lncRNA from 1 species
CUGUCUUUCAAGCCUUGCUGCCAUAAUACAUGGUAUGGCAAAGCAUGAGAUUCUGCAUUUCCCUUUAAAUUUUUGCUCAUUUAAACAAAAUGCAAACCUGAAAUAGGCAGUCUUUGAAAAUUAUUCCAUUUUGCCCUUUUUGAUCAGUUGAGGUAAAUUUUCUCAGUCUUUGCUAUUGUAUAAAGCGGGCUUAAACUAAAGACUUAACUUUUCAUUGUUCCCAGAUUGAGACAUCUAGGGCUUUCUUCAUGGAAAUGUGGAGAACCCAGAAAUGUCAGCUGCUCACAGAACUGCUGACUUAGUGGCAAGUGAUCAAAGGAUGAAGUUUCUAUCACUUGAGGACUGUCUUUGGAGAUAUUUAAAAGGAGGGUACCCAAGAAGAUGGAGCAUUUUGUGUGAAGAGUGGACUAGGCAGCUGAAGAAUUGCCACAGGCUUUCAGGGCACCAUCGAAUCUGUGCAAGUCCUUCAGAUGAACAACCCCCCCUCUGAAAUGCUUAAUCCAGGCUUGAUACCUCAAGAAAACUUCAGAGGAGUUACUAUUGCCACGCACCAAUGGUAAGGCAAAAGAGAAGCAAGUUAUUCAUGUUUAAUGUUGUUUUGUACCAGAUGUUUUGCUGGUAGAAAUCCAUAGCUCCACAGGCAUCAAUUUCUUCAGGAUCUGGAAUGUUUGACACAAUUUUUUUUCCUCCUUUCUGGAUGGUCUGUGAAGGAAGCUGCUUGGUUUUGCAAUAUUGAAUAUUCAUGCUGAGAAGUUAUAAGCAAAAACAAAAUAAUGAGAGACAGGGUCUCUAAUAAGCUUCCUGUCACAUGAGGCUGUGGUUCUGGUGAAGCAGAUGUGGUUGCUGACUUGUUUCCAAAAUGUUUGCUGAGUGGUGAUUAGAUUCUGUCAUAGUGAUG